rnacentral:rRNA from 1 species
AUUGAACGCUGGCGGCAUGCCUUACACAUGCAAGUCGAACGGCAGCGGACCUUCGGGUGCCGGCGAGUGGCGAACGGGUGAGUAAUAUAUCGGAACGUACCUUUCAGUGGGGGAUAACGUAGCGAAAGUUACGCUAAUACCGCAUAAGCCCUGAGGGGGAAAGCAGGGGAUCGCAAGACCUUGCGCGAAUGGAGCGGCCGAUGUCAGAUUAGCUAGUUGGUGGGGUAAAGGCCUACCAAGGCGACGAUCUGUAGCGGGUCUGAGAGGAUGAUCCGCCACACUGGGACUGAGACACGGCCCAGACUCCUACGGGAGGCAGCAGUGGGGAAUUUUGGACAAUGGGCGCAAGCCUGAUCCAGCCAUGCCGCGUGCGGGACGAAGGCCUCGGUUGUAAACGCUUUCAGCCGGAAGAAAUCGCCAAGGCUAAUAUCCUUGGUGGAUGACGGUACCGGAAGAAGAAGCACCGGC